rnacentral:rRNA from 1 species
GUGCACCAGUCGAAAACCUCCGCAAUACACGAAAGUGUGACGGGCCAUCCCGAGUGCCGUCCGCUGAGGACGGCUUUUCCCCAGUGUACAUAGCUGGGGGAAUAAGGAGAGGGCAAGCCUGGUGUCAGCCGCCGCGGUAAUACCAGCUCUCCGAGUGGUGGGGACGCUUAUUGGGCCUAAAGCAUCCGUAGCCGGCUGGGCAAGUCCUCCGUUAAAUCCAACGAUUCAAUCGUUGGGCUGCGGGGAUACUGUCCGGCUUGGGGGCGGAGAGGCCGACGGUAUUCCCGGGGUAGGGGUGAAAUCCUAUAAUCCCGGGAGGACCACCAGUGGCGAAGGCUGUCGGCUAGAACGCGCCCGACGGUGAGGGAUGAAAGCUGGGGGAGCGAACCGGAUUAGAUA